AUUUAGAAAUUUUACUGAAAAAUUGUAACAAAUUACUAAUUUAUAAUAUUUUAUAUUUUCUUUUCAGGAAAAGACGGAGGAUGCUGCAGAUUCUGGUGGAAUAUUGGAAUGUGACUACAGUUAGCUAUUGGGUAUGUGCGGGUGUAACUUCUGGAUUUGGACAUAUAUAAGAUUAAACUUCUAGAGGAUCUUGAACUUCAAACUGGCCUUAGAUUUCGUUUAGGAUCC